CCAAUGUAUAAAUGCAGUGAGAAACAGCGUGACCUAGCCUUCCGAAUAAUCUCACUGCGCCUCCGCCGCCUUUCCUGGCACUCUUCGCUUAUUCGCCGUCUCGAAAAUAGCAGAUCUAAUCUCCCGAUUGUGCUCGCCGCUUCCUCACCCUCACCAGGCGCAUCCGACUAGAUCCUCCGCUGGUAAAGCAGCGUAAGGGAUAAUUAGGAAUUGGAGGCACGCAGGAGAUUGCUGCUGGUUUUUUCUUUAAUCUUAAAUUAUACAGUAUUGGAUAUCUCAGUCUCAAUAAUUGAUACUCAUUUUUUUAGUCAGACCAGUCGGAGAGAUUCGAUCAGUUGGACUUUGGAGAGGAUGAAUACUCGGUUUGUGAAUUUGAUAGUGCAGGACUUGAGCCGUCGCAUGUAUUCGCUGCAUCGUCUGGAUCCCUUGAAGUACCUCUUCUAUCCGUCAACAGAAGCACGAAAAGCAGCACUAGCAAAAACGGAGAAGAACAAACCACCUAUGCUAGAGCGCUUGUCGGUUCUGCCUAAGCCGGAAAUCAAUUUUCAUCCCAUGUCUAGUUUAACACAUAGUAGUAUGAACAGGGAUUCGUUCUCUCUACUUGGAAAAGACAGUAUUGUUUUCAGUGACUCCUUUAGUAAGACAAUACUCUACAACAUUGAGCUGGGAACUGUUGCAAGCAUCCCUCGUAUCAAUUCAUGCAUGGUUCCUUUUGGCAUGAGCCUCCCCAUGAUCCAAGACAAUCUUGUUGACCGGACAGAAGAUCAAUCUCUCUAUGUUAUGGACCUGUCACGUGACGCCAACAUCAGCAGCUGCUUCGAGGUCCUUAGAUGCGACGAUGGUUGGGGCUGGCAUACUUUGCCGGCGCCGCCAUUCCUCUCUCACAAUCCUUCCUUCUGAAGAACCAUCAACAGGUGUUGCUACACAGUGGUCGACAGCUCCACCAUCUGCAUAUCAUCUAUGGAUCAGGGCAUAGGCACGUACACCUUCGACACAGCGAGUCGUGUAUGGAGACAGGUUGGCAAAUGGGUACUACCCUUCUAUGGCAAAGCUGAGUAUGUCCCUGAGCUCAAACUCUGGUUUGGCCUCUCAGAAUGCAAUGGCUCUCCCAGGUUAUGCGCCCUGGACCUCUCUGCCAUGGACGCUGAGCAGCCACCAACACUGCAGAAUACUUGGGAUUAUCUUGAUCUGUUUGAGGAUAAGAAGACGGUGAUAUCUGAACACCAUCUGGUUAACUUGGGCUCUGGCAUGUUUUGCAUUGCCACGCUCCUUAGGACUAUUCUGCACACAUUUAGCCCAGACUCCCCAUGCUCUUCAGGUGAGGAAAUUAUGAUGGAUAUGAUGGAUGGGGAGUUUAUUUUCUUAACUGGUGUGGAAGUGGAGAGAUGCUGCAACGAAGGUCAGGCUCCUUUCAAGAUGAUCAAGCACAAGUCUAUAUAUUAUGACUUGAAACACCGUACCAUAAAGUCCGUGCUCUAAGCAAGUUUUUGGGUCACAUGGAUGCUGCUCCUUGGCACGCUUCUCCCACAUUCACUCUUGCCAUGGCAAGUCCUUGGAAUAACUCCGAUGGACCUUAGUAUUGUAGCGUGCUAUAGAUCAUUUUGUGGUCUUAUUAUUUUAUUGGUUACUGCUUCAAAGGCUUGCCUAAUUUAUCUGUACGCUUUGUUUGUUUUAAGGAAAUGUAUGAGACGCUCAGUGAUUUUCA